GAUGAACGCUGGCGGCGUGCCUAGUACAUGCAAGUCGAGCGAACAGACGAGGAGCUUGCUCCUCUGACGUUAGCGGCGGACGGGUGAGUAACACGUGGAUAACCUACCUAUAAGACUGGGAUAACUUCGGGAAACCGGAGCUAAUACCGGAUAAUAUAUUGAACCGCAUGGUUCAAUAGUGAAAGACGGUUUUGCUGUCACUUAUAGAUGGAUCCGCGCCGCAUUAGCCAGUUGGUAAGGUAACGGCUUACCAAGGCAACGAUGCGUAGCCGACCUGAGAGGGUGAUCGGCCACACUGGAACUGAGACACGGGCCAGACUCCUACGGGAGGCAGCAGUAGGGAAUCUUCCGCAAUGGGCGAAAGCCUGACGGAGCAACGCCGCGUGAGUGAUGAAGGUCUGCGGAUCGUAAAACUCUGUUAUUAGGGAAGAACAAAUGUGUAAGUAACUAUGCACGUCUUGACGGUACCUAAUCAGAAAGCCACGGCUAACUACGU
rnacentral:rRNA from 1 species